UCCAGGAAGAAGAGACUGGUAAGCUAAGUGGUGAGGGACGAGGUUCGGCAGCCUGAGCAGACCAGGGGUAAGGUGUUCUAGGCUGAGGACUAGCACAUGCCAAGUCCCCAGGCACAAGCUGGAUGCACAGCGCAGCUCAGGAAGUGGAGGUCAAGGAAGGAGUAGGGUCCAGCUGUAGGGGCCUUGGAAUUUUAUCUCCAGCGGAGCAGGAAGCCCAGGGGGUGGUAAGCAGGGAAGGCAUAAGAUCCUGCCUUCCUUUUCUUUUUCUUUUUUUGAGACUGGCUCACUCGUAGCCCAGGUUGAUCUUGAAGAAUGAGCUUGAAUUUAUUUUUAUUAUUUGUGUGAGACACAGUUGAGGGAGAGCUCUGUGCCAGGACUCCAGCAACUUAUGUACGCUGGGCAAGUGCUCUAACAACCGGGGACAGCCCCCACCCAGUCUUCACUCCAGAAGUCUCUGACUAUCCUAUGAAGAUAUGGCUUCCCUUCAGAGGGAGGGUGUCCUGCUGAGCCCUGGGGAAGAUGUCUUCUGUCACUCCUGAACACAGGCACUUGCAAGUAAGGGGCAAAGAGAAACUAGUCGGACCUGGGCAUAGUUGGCGGCCGUAAAUCCUAAGGAAUGAGGGUACAGUGCUUCAUCAUGUCCCAGACUAUGCCCUACAACAUGCCCCCUCCUCCACCCGUCUGUCUUAGGGGUGCUAGUUAGUUUGGCUUUUUUUCUAAUCUAGCAAACUCAAGGAGGAGGGGAGGGGAGUUAUCAAUCUUGUGGACAAGGGGUGGGUCCUCAGACAGGAAACCACAAAUUGGAAGGCAGUUUCUGAAUGGAAAGGGAGCAACCCUGUUUGAUGAUCUGAGAACUGGCGCCUCUCUGCGUCAGGUCAGGCUCCUGAGAGGCCAGAGCUCCAGCCGGCAUUCGUUUCCCUGGCAAUGAAUUUGUACUCUACUCUGUCUCCUGGUCUAGCCUGACCCCUGGACAAAACAGAAAGAAGACAAAAAGAAUUUAAAAAGAAGAGAGAAAAGAAGAGAAAGCAAGCAAGCUCUGGAGGGGUGACUGGACAGGAAAAGACAUGAGCUCAUCACUUCCCCCUGAAGCCUUUUGCUGACAGCCGCCCCCCAACCCCCAUCCUCUCCUGCCACUGUUUACUGCAUAGUCAUCGGUCAGAGCUGAGCUUGUGAGGAUAGAAAGGAGGACUUGGCUGAAGAGGAACCUGUGGGACAAAAAUGCUGCUUUCCUGUGAAAACAGGUCACCUACACUGGCCCUGGUGCCCCGCCCUGCUAAAGCUUCCAGCAGCAGCCACUGAGUGACAGGUAGAGAGAGCCAGGGCUGACACACUGAGGCCAAGGGAAUGUCCCACCCCAGGAACCCAAGCCAAGUGUGGGAUGGAUGGAAAUCAGAUCUGUGAAAACUCAAAGCCUGUAGGUGACUCUGUGUGUGUGUGUGUGUGUUGUUUAGUCAUGUGGUCUGUGUGCUCGUGCACACUCGUGUGUGCUUGAGUGCACAUGUAGGUCAGAGGACAACUUCCUACAUUUUAUUUUUUCUCCUUUCUGUCUUUUCAGAGACAGGGUUUCUCUAUGUAACCCUAGCUGUCCUCAAACUUGGAGAUCCUCCUGCCUCUGCCUCCCGAGUGCUGGGAUCAAAGCAUAAAUCACCAUACCUGGUGGCCUUGAACUUCUCUGGAGUGCUAAGAUUACAGGUUUGUGCCACCACACGCGGUUCAUUCAGGGCCAGGAGUCAAACCCAGGGCUUUGUGUAUGAUGGGCAAGCAGUCUCCCAACUGAGAUACACCUCCAGCUUUAGUCUGUUUCUUUUUCUUUAAAUUUUAUUUAUUUUUUUCUUUUUUUCGGAGCUGGGGACCGAACCCAGGGCCUUGCGCUUGCUAGGCAAGCGCUCUACCACUGAGCUAAAUCCCCAACCCCAAAAUUUUAUCUUUAUGGGUGUUUUGUCUGUAUAUAUGUCUGGGAAUCACUUGCAUGCCUUGCGCCCGUGGGUGUCAGAAGAAGGCAUCACAUCCCCUGGAACUGGAGUUACAUUGUUGUUUGUUAGUCACUAUGUGGGUGCUGGGAAUUGAACCUGGGUCCUCUGUAAGAGCAACAGCAAGUGCUCUUCGGAGCUGAGACGUUUCCCCAGGCCCUGUUUCUUUUUUUUCUUCUUCUUCUUUUUUUAAAAAAGAUUUAUUUAUUUUAUAUAUAUGAAUAUACUGUAGCUGUCUCCAGACACACCAGAAGAGGGCGUCAGAUCCUAUUACAGAUGGUUGUGAGCCACCAUGUGGUUGCUGGGAAUUGAACUCAGGACCUCUGGAAGAGCAGUCAGUGCUCUUAACCGCUGAGCCAUCUCUCCAGCCCCAGGCCUUAUUUCUUAAACAGCUUUAUUGACACAUAAUUCAUUUACUCCUAGUGAUAGUUAAUUCUUACUAUAUUCACAGAGUUAAGUAGCCAUCACCAUGAUCAGUGUUAGAAUAGUUUAUUACCCAAAAAGAAACCUGAGGGCUGGCAAGAUGGUUCGGCAGGUAAAGGCCCUGAUGAUCUGAGAUGAAUCCUUGGAACCAGUUCUAGAAGGAGAGAACCGACUCUUGAAUGUUGUCCUUUGUCUACCCCAUGUACACCAUAGCAUGGCCACACCUGUAUUCACACACACACACACACACACACACAACACACACAUACACACACACACACACACACACACACACACACACAUGCGCACACACACACAGAAAGAGAGACAGAGACAGAGAGACAGAAGCCCUACAAAGGGACAGGGAGUUUGCCUAACACGUGAAACCCUGGGUUUGACAUCAUCGGUGCUCCCUCACCGCUCUCCCCUCCUUCAGCCUGAGAGCCACCAACAUACUUCCUCAAUGUAUUUGCCUGCCCCAGACCUCAUGUGCUCGUACGGAAUCAUCACAGCCCAAGUCUUUUGAGAGAGGCUCCUUUCGCCUACUGUAAUGUUGUCCAGGUCCUUCCCUGUCGAGGCAUCAGAAUUCAUUCGUCUCUCGUAUUCUGGUGUGCGAGCAGACCACUUUUUAACCACCCACCAAGUGACAGUCACUGCUCUUCACUUGGUGGCUAUUACGAAUGGUACUUCAUGAACAUACGUCCAGAUCCUCCACACAGCCGUGCUUCCUGUCCUCUGGGGUAGAAAUGUCACAGUGGGAUUUAAGGGUCAACUGGGAGUUCUAUGCCUAGUGUUCUGAGAACCUGUCCAAGUGUUUCCCAGAGCAGUUGUGCCUUUUCACAGCGGCUUCCAGUUUCUCCAUGUUUUCAGGGCAGUUGUCAUUGUCUAUCUUAUGGGUAACAACUGUCAUAGCAGGCAUGACAUGGCUGCUCAUUGUGCGGUGGCUUUAUUUCUGCAGCACUGGGGUUUCGAACAUCUCAGAGAAGCAUUCUGACACCGAAUGGUCGUAGGUUCAAAGCCAGCUUUGUCUACGUCAUUUCAAGGAUAAUCUGAUGCUCAUAGACAUUCAGGCCAGCCUGGGCUGCGAAGGAAGACUAUUAGGAAGACUCUGUGUCCUGAAACCAGUAGACACAUAAUAUGAUGAUAUGGGUGCAUGUGUGCAUCAUGCGUGUUUGUGUCAUACACAUAACAUGAAGUUGUGCUCCUAGGGUUUCUUCUGAUUUAUGGUUUUACUUCUUCCUUGGAAUAGGUUCGUGAUUUACUUUGCUUGUUGAGUUGUUAAGUCAAUGCAACAAGACAGUGGGUGAUCUAGAAUCUCUUGUAACUUUGAAGAUAAGCACAGACGCUCCUCUCCCGUGUGUGCCAGUGUAAUGUGAGGAGCAGUACAGGGUCCCAGGCACUGAUAACGCUGUCCACAUUCCAUUGCUCUCCCAGGCUCCUCAUGGCCUCCUGAAUUCUUUCCAUUCAGCUGAGAUUUAAAAUUCCUGGUGUGGCUAAAACUGUUUCCGAGUUGUUUUGUUUGUUUGUUUUGUUGCUUGCUCCCUCCCAAGAGUGGCUUUUGUUUUCUUGCCACCCGCCAGCCCUGACCAUGGUCUGUACCCAUCUUUGUAGAAGCUAUGCUUUGACAAGUAGAAUGUUCUAACAAUGAGUCCUGUAAAAUAGUAAUAAAGUAUCAACAUGAACCGCCAA